rnacentral:rRNA from 1 species
AAACCGGAGCUAAUACCGGAUAAUAUAUUGAACCGCAUGGUUCAAUAGUGAAAGACGGUUUUGCUGCCACUUAUAGAUGGAUCCGCGCCGCAUUAGCUGGUUGGUAAGGUAACGGCUUACCAAGGCGACGAUGCGUAGCCGAACUGAGAGGGUGAUCGGCCACACUGGAACUGAGACACGGUCCAG